CCUCUCAUCCUCUCCCAUCUCCUUCUAAUUCCUGCCCAAAUUUGCCCUUUCUGUGCCCAGCACCAGUAGCGAGAGGCAAACAUCGAUCAUUUCGUCCACCCUCCUAAAUUACAAUAAAUUAUCAUUUUCUUCCGAUCUAUUUUCAAGUCUAAGGCUAAGGACUACCAACUCUUCUACUAUGACACUCAACUUCCUUCUCUCAACCUCCACCCACAAACCCCAGCACCUCACCGCCUCGUCGUAGAACAUCAAAAUGAAGUAAGGAAGAUUAGAAGGAAUAGCCCAUACUUGAGUGUCAAUGUUAAAGAUGGUGAUCAUGUCGGUGAGAGAUGAGGGUUCAAAGAGACAAAGACCGCCACCAAGACAGUCAAAUGAGUAAUAUUGCUAGAAAUUGAUAAGUAGAUAUUUGACAAUAGAGGAGACAUGCGUCUACUCGAUAAAUGAUGGGAUGCCAGCCA
rnacentral:lncRNA from 1 species